AUUGAACGCUAGCGGGAUGCUUUACACAUGCAAGUCGAACGGCAGCGCGAGAGAGCUUGCUCUCUUGGCGGCGAGUGGCGGACGGGUGAGUAAUAUAUCGGAACGUGCCCAGUAGCGGGGGAUAACUACUCGAAAGAGUGGCUAAUACCGCAUACGCCCUACGGGGGAAAGGGGGGAUUCUUCGGAACCUCUCACUAUUGGAGCGGCCGAUAUCGGAUUAGCUAGUUGGUGGGGUAAAGGCUCACCAAGGCAACGAUCCGUAGCUGGUUUGAGAGGACGACCAGCCACACUGGGACUGAGACACGGCCCAGACUCCUACGGGAGCAGCAGUGGGGAAUUUUGGACAAUGGGGGAAACCCUGAUCCAGCCAUCCCGCGUGUAUGAUG
rnacentral:rRNA from 1 species